rnacentral:lncRNA from 1 species
AGGUAAGCAUUACACGAGCUUUUCAUUCAAGCAACACAACUCAUCAUAGAAUCACCAUAACAUAAAUACCAACAUACAUCAAAUGACACAAAUGAAUUAAAAUGAAGUGGAAAAACAUGUGCCCCCUCCAAAGCAUAUCAUCCCACAUACAUCAUCUUCAUCAUAAUACAUCAAUUUACAUACAAAUCAAGUUUAAAAUGAAAAUAAAAAAGAGAAAUAAGGUAGAGUCAAGGAAAAUCAUGUGCACUCAGUAUGCCCACAUACAUCAUCUCAUCACUAUCAUUAAAGAAUCCAUCAAAAACACACGAGGAUUCCUCACUAAACUCACAUAAUUCAUCACACUCAUUCAUUCACGUUUUCACUCAACUCUCCAUAAUUUCCUCAUACUCACACGAAUCACCAAAGAUUCCCCAAAAAAAUCAUCAUAACAAACUUCAUUUCCCUCCUAAAAAACUCACAAGUUUCAUCCCUCAAUUCACUCUAUCACACCUAUAAGUAGAGCAUAAACAUCACUCUUAAAACACAAGAAAAUACCCUAGCAGAGCCAUGCUAAAAACGUACUUGGCCCUCACCAAAGCUAUUCAACCUAAAGCCUCUAAAGUUCAACAUCUGAACUUGAGUAAGGCUUGAGCUCUAAACCCUUCACCAUAUCACAAAGUAACCUUGCACAAAGCAGAAGAAAGAGGAGAGGAAGGAAGUAUCAUAAACAAACAGAAACAGAAAGAAGGAACUGAUAGAGUUUACCCGAGGUUGGUCGCCGAAGUCUCACCGAAGUUUAAACCAUUGGCGAGGUCUUCUUAUUCACUUUCCUUUUGUUUUUCCUGCAUAUUAACGUUGUUUUAUCUAUUGCUGUAUGUUAUGUGUAAUUUGGACAUACAGAAUUAAGGGGUUAAGUUAAAUUUAGGGAUGAGCCCUAUCUGGGCUCAUAGUUGCUUAUUUGGUUAUUUUGACGAUGGAUUCUUGAUCAAGGACUAUUUUUAGGCUAGGGUUUUAUUUUUCAUUUUGGAUUUGGACAAUUUUCGUGAAAUCUGAGUUUCAAGUAUGAACAUCUUCAUGAUGUUCAUGCUUGUUCUAAGACAACCACUAUGGUUGAUCUUGGUUUGGUGGAAAGAGAAGCAAGAAAUGUGUUAGUGUGGUGGGGCAGGUUAGAGGUAGAGAGAGAGAGUAGGUCAGAGUAGAGAGAGAAGGAAGUUGAAAAAUGAAUCCCACGUGAGGUCUCCCUCACUUUUACCUCUCUCACAUCUGAACCCUUUCCAACACAUGGUGGCUUUGGAACCAUGAGAUUCGUUGACCGCUCAUCAUUGAAAAGGGUUUCUGUAGUAGACCUUCAUCAUAGCCUUCACGCGCAUGCGUUUCCUUGACCUUCAUAUUUAUGUGGCUUUCAUCCAAGGGACAAGGUUGAGUUAACGUUAUUGACUCCUCUGAUCCUUUGACUUGGACGAGCGCCCUGCUUUGGGCUUUCACGUUCGGCCACUGCUAGGCGCACCCCUUCCUGGUCCAUUUUUGCUUGCAAUCUUUUUUUAUUAUUUUAUUUUAUAAUUUUGGAUCUUGGGCCUUUGGCAUAUUUGUGCUUAUCUAUGUUUACUAGCAGCAUACCCCAUACCAUUUUUAUGCACCCCCAUUUCUAUUAUUAUUUUCAUGUCAUUUUUAUUUAUUUAUUGUUCUUUUAUUUUAUUUAAUAAUAAACAUUACUUCAAUAAUAAUAAAAUCAAUUACAUUUGUAACAAAAAUCUUGAUCCAACGUCAAGAAUUUUUUUAAAAAUCAAAUUCAACGCAUUCUCAAAUACGACUCAAAGCGUUUAAUCGAUAUCAAACUUCUUUUCAAACUCAAACCCUUAGUCAAAUCUUUUUCUCAAGUAAACCCAAUGAAAAGGGUUAAUUGAGUGUAUACAUGUUUUCUCCUCAAGUAUUAGGUCACUGGAUGUAGAGCUCACUGUUUGAAGACUCGUCAUCCGCAUUAAAAGAUAAUAAUUAACCGAAUUUGGUUUGAUCUUUUAUAGAAGAAAAAUGAUUAAUUGGGUGUAGAUCUCUUUCUUCCCCGAGUAUUUAGACACUGGCUGUAGAGCUCGCUGUGCAAAUACUCAUCUUUCGUUAAAGAACCAUUACUCAAUUUGAUUCACAUAUUUUAAAAUAAAUUUGGACGAAAAAGGAUUAAAUGGGUUUAGACCUUUUUUCUCCUCGAUUAUUCGUACACUGGAUGUAGAGCUCGUUGUGUAAAUACUCUUCAUCCACUAAAAAAUAUUAAACAAAUCAAACUUAUCUUUUCUCGAUCCCGCACGAUCAAAAUUAUUUUCUUAAAAGAACAUUGUUUAGUCUGUUAUACCGCGAUAUAAAUAAACACUUAAGCCUUCAAUUACGAGCAUACAAGCCAUGUUUAACCGCUAGAACGCGAUAUACAUAUUUGUUUAAUAAAAUCAAUCAACCAAUACAUAGUUUUGUAUUAAGAACCGCGUAACUUUCAAUUCCUCAUCGCACCUGAGGAUACGUAGGAGUAAGACCUGCAAUCUUGUCAAGCACCCUAAUAAAAACCUUUUUGCGACCCUUUUAUUUUCCGUUUGAACUUUUAAUCACUCGAAGAAAAAAAAUAACGAAAGCUAACAUUUAAAUCACAAAUCUAACUAAAUAGUUCCCGUUGAGUACAACAAAUGUGAGGGGUGCUAAUACCUUCCCCUCGCAUAGUCGACUCCCAAACCCGAUUUUUGUUGCGAGAACCAUUUUCUUUUUUCUAUAAGGAAUUUAUCUAUAUUUCCCUUUCCUUUUGGAAUAAAUAAAGUUCAAUGGUGACUAUGUUAUCAUCUCGAGCGUGCGAGUGCUCCAAGUUAUUUUUUUUGUGCCGCGACAGUUGACGUCUCUAUUGGGGACACACUUCAGCUAGAGAGUCAAGCCUAAUUUGGUUAACUAUGCAAUAAAUGUUGGCAUUAUUUGUUUUCUUCCAUUUGUUUUAUCAUUUCUUAUGUGUUUCUCUUGCUACAUGUUUACCUAUUAUAGGUUACCAUGGUUAUUGGCAAUGUGUGAGAUAGGCUCUAUACCCGAGUCUGAGAAAACACCUAAGUAUAAGAUGGUGGUUGUGUAGUGUUUGACCUUUAAGGCGUAGGUCUGGUUUGAUCGGCAUAAAGACCUCACCUAGAGUAGAUCUUAUUGAGAGUGUUGUUGUUUAACGAGUAGUCAUUAUGGCGAUGAUAUUUUCAAUUAGGAUCUCUAACUCUAGGGACCUUUUUAGAACCUUAGAGUCGAUGGUUGUGUAGCAUUGAACGGAAAGACACAUGUCUCGUUAGGCCGAUACGAUGACCUCACAUAGAGUAGAUUCUCUUGGAGAUAUGGUUGUCUAACAAUUAGUCAUUAUGGUGAUAAUAUUUCCGAGAAGGAUCCAUGAAUUUGGGAACCUACAACCAUAGAGCAUACCUUUGGGAUUCCAUUAAUCAAAGAUACUUGUAUUUUCUCCAAUUGUUACCCUGAUUGACUUGAACAUGAUAUGCCUAUGAUCCCGAGUCAUGCAUAUGCAUCACAUUUUCAUAAAAAAAUACUUAGCAUUUGCAUUUUAUUUUCAAGGAACCUAAGAGACUACAGUUGUUGCAGGCAUUCGAGAGUAUAUGGUCAGAUAGGAAAAACACAUACUCCUUAAAAUUCAAGUCUCCUAAGCUAUAAGGUUUGAAAUAACUAAGCUCCUGGCUAACCACUAUCAACAAAAAUGAUUUCAAGAAGGAUUAUGGGAAUCUCCUUGCUAUGCUAAAUGAAGAAGUUGAUCCACUGACUUUAUUGACUCUCUCUUAGUUCUAUGAUCCUCCACUGAGAUGCUUCAUUCCAGAACUUCCAGUUAGCUCCAAUAUUGGAAGAAGUUGAUCAUAUUAUGGGCGUCUCUAUGAAGGAUAAAAAUCCUUUAAAUGGUUUGGGAGAACUUGUAAAACCUGAAAUAAUAGUUAUGUCCCUGCACAUGGAUAAGAAAGAUGUGUAAGAACAAGGUUUAAUUUUGCAUCUAGCCUUAUGUUUUGAUGAUAACAAUACAUAGAAUCUUAGAGAAUAAUUUUCUACCAUAAUGAUUUUGUUUAGUGUGUAGAUACUAGAUACAAGUUCUGACUCUGAUUGAAUGACGUACGACGUCAUUAAAUUCUAAACCUAGUUCACUUUGACUCUGAGAUGUGUGUUUUAUAAGAUAAUCAAGCUCUAGAUUAUGUGAUAAUCACUUUUGAAUAUAGUAUAUCCAAAGCUUUAUGACUCUGAAGCUUCUGACGCUGUCAAGCUCCGAAGUAUUACGCUCAAACAACUCUGAUGAAGAGUGUCACCAGAUUCUGAAGACCAUGUUCUGAUGAACUAGAUCAAGACUCUGAAGAUCGUGUUUCUGAAGAUUCUCUCAACCAGACUCUUACUCUUAUUUUAUGCAUACUUCAUCACCUCUCUAUCAUAAGCCCCUGAAUAUUAAAGAUAAGAUCAAAAAGGUUUUACAUGAGAAAAUAAUAAAUAGUAUAAGAUCAAAUAUUCCUUAUACUACACUGAUUUUGUGGGCUAAGGACUGUACUAUUGUACCAUUUUGUCUCCCAUUUUCACAGACCGUUAUGCAAGGAUACAACUGCAUUUUAGUAUUCUAAUUCUACCCUCUAACAGAUCUCUUCAUUUCAAAUAUAAAGAAGGCUUGUAAGAAUGGAACACUGUUACACUCUAAGAGAUUAUCAUAUAUGUGAAUAGUGCAUUUUGUGAAAUAUAUGAGAGAAAAGAAACAUACACACAAGGAAAUUUUGUUCAUAUUCUUCAUAGAAUAUAUUUUGUGUGAUAUGAUAUUCAGACUCUAACUGGUGUGGUGACAAAAUGGACAUAAGGAGUACUAUAAGGUACUUGUUCAUGUAUAUAUAAACUCCCAUUUCUCAGUGCUCCAAGAAGCAACUAGGGGUUGCAUUUUCAACCUUGAAGUUGAAUACAUAGUUGGUGUUUUGUCAGCUUGUUAGGUUGUUUGGCUGAUGAAUUUGCUGCAGGAACUGAAGUUCAAGGUUAGCAAACCAGUCAAACUGAUGAUUAAUAACAAAUUUUUCAUAACUCUUUCUAAGAAGCCAAUGAUGCACGGAAGAAGCAAGCACAUUGAUACUAAGUACCAUUUUCCGUGCAAUCAAGUUCAGAAUAGAGUACUUGAAUUUGUUCAUGUCAACACUGAUAAGCAAUUGGCAUAUGUGCUUACCAAGGCGAUCAAAACUGAGCACUUCAUCAAUUUGAGGGAUGUAAUUGGUGUUGUUGACUUUUAAUCUUGAAUACGAAUUAAUGGAUUAUGUUGAAUGUAAUUCAACAUUCAAGAUUGGUUUAAUUUUUAGUUUCAUUUGCAUUUACGUUUGUAUUUGUAUUUGAAUUUCAUUUACAUUUGAAUUUAGGUUAUUGUAUAAAACUCAAAGUUAGUUGGAGAUUGUAACAAAAUUUUAAAUUUAAGACUUGGAGAUUGAAACUCUCUCUCUCUCUCUCUCUCUUACUCUCUCUCUCUCUCUCUCUCUCUCUCUCUCUUACUCUCUCUCUCUGAGAGAGAGAGAGAGAGAGAGAGGAGAGGGAGAGAGAGAGAGAGAGAGAGAGAGAGAGAGUGAGAGAGAGAGAGGAGAGAGAGAGAGAGAGAGGAGAGAGAAGAAAGAGUGUACCUUAGGAGAGUGUGAUGAGAAAGGUUCUGGAAGAAAAUAAAUUGUGAUUAUGUUUGUGCGAAGGGGAAUUUAAAGGCCUUUGUCCAUCGCUGAUUUCGGAACUUUGUAGUAGUAUCGCUUUUUAUUUAAACCACGGGUUGUAAUUAAUUAAUUAGAUAAUGCAUUUCAAAACCGGAAAUACAAGGAACGGUAGUGAACUCAAUUCCUUUUCUUUUGCAAUCAAUGUUUGUUUCCUCCGCCCUUAUUUAUAAUCCUUCUCACAUUUUAAAUACAUUAAGCUAACUAUCAGUCUAAUUCAUUUUACACUUGUUAAUAAUUUUUAAUUUAGAGUAUAUUUUCUAAUAAGUUAAGUGCUAAGAUGUAAAACUAUAUAUAUAGAGAGAUAGAGAGAGAUUGAUUGAUUGAUAGAGAGAGAGAAAGAUCAACUUACUAAGAGUACUUUUUUAACUUACUCCAAAUCAUAGAUUUUAAAUUAAAUUUAAUUGAAUGAUUAAUUAAGUAAAAUAUUAAUUUAAUCNNNNNNNNNNNNNNNNNNNNNNNNNNNNNNNNNNNNNNNNNNNNNNNNNNNNNNNNNNNNNNNNNNNNNNNNNNNNNNNNNNNNNNNNNNNNNNNNNNNNNNNNNNNNNNNNNNNNNNNNNNNNNNNNNNNNNNNNNNNNNNNNNNNNNNNNNNNNNNNNNNNNNNNNNNNNNNNNNNNNNNNNNNNNNNNNNNNNNNNNNNNNNNNNNNNNNNNNNNCUCUCUCUCUCUCUCUCUCUCUCUCUCUCUCUCUCUCUCUCUCUCAUUUUUAUACAUCAAAGAAAGUUCAUUGUUGAAUUCCAACCAUACAAGUGUGUAUCUAUCCUUGUUUCAAAUGAUUAUGCCGACCAAAAGUAUACUACAAAUCUUGCGAAAGAUAAAGAAUGUAUUCUUUUCUCAUGUUAUAUUGCAAGAAUAUAUAUUCUUUUCAAGUUUUUCGGUUACAUGAUAUUCUGUUUUCUUUAAAAAGCUCUAAAUUCGUUUACUUUCUGAGUCAUCAUAUUAUAUUCGUUAAUCACAAUAUAUAGAAUAAUAAAACAAAACAUUUGACACUACACAUACACAUUUCUACAAAGAAUCUAAUUCAAGUAUUUUCUCUACUAAGAAUACCACUAUAUAAAUGAUGAAAUUUUCCACUAACUCAAGUGCCUCUUAACACUUCUAACUCAAUAGUUUCUUUAAAAAAAAAGUUUAAAAUAUGUUCAAAACAUUACUUUUAGGAUUAUUUUUCUUGAUCUCCGUUCUCACUUUUUCAGCUCAUGAGAUCACAGCCACAUCACAAAUUGAAGGUUUAAGUACUUCAAAGCAACAAAGGACUCAAAGAACAACUGUGGGAUAUUUGCAUGUUGUUCAACAUGGAAAGGUGUCAAAGAAAUCAAAGACAGUUUAUGGGGGAGCCAAUAAUGUGAAGAGUCAUAAGGGAAAAAGUAGUGCAAACACUAAUUUGAUCAAAUCUUCAUCCUUGUUUAUGGUUGUAUUAAGUCAUCUAAUUCCAGCAAUGAUUCUGGUUGGUGGUUUCUUUUGAAUUUCAAUAUGUUUCAAGAUAGAGGCUUGCAUGAUUUGUCAAGAGUGUGCUUUUGAUUUGUCUCAUACAAAGACACAUAUAUAAUCAAAUAAGUUUUCUUUAUUGAAAUGGUCUUAUUAAUUUAGUGUUACAAAUAUGUGUUUGGUUCUACAAUUAAAAAUAAUAAUUUUGAGUAAAUUGAUUUUCAUUAAAAAUGACUUAAAUAUAAAAUGAUUUGUAUUUGAAUAAAUAUUUGUAAAAUUGAGUUGAAUAAUCAAUUUUAAAUUUAAAAAUCACGUUUAAAUUAUAAUACUAUAAAUUAUAAUUUUAAAUAGAAUCAAUUCUAAAAACCAUAAUCAAUUUUACUCGAGAACAAUUAAACAUAAUUAGUUAUACAUGUUCACAAUCAAUUUUGCAUGCUCAGACAUGAAAUCAAAUAUACAUUGAUUUUGUUUUAUAUUUUAUUAUUGUUUUAAAGUUACUUAAUUUAAGGAAAUUUAAAAAAAAAUGUUAUUUUUAAUAGAAUUAUUUAUCAUAUUCUAUAAUAUUUUUAUUUUUUAUUCUAUUUAUUUAUGAAAGAUCUCGUUAUUUGGUUUGGUGUUGAUCAGUGGUCAAUAUUUCACAAGCUUUUAUAUAAACAAAAGUGUUUAAGUAGUCACAAAACAGACUCUACAUUAGAUAUUUGAUCUAGCCUGUUUGUUACGUUGAUUUUUAAUUUGAAUUAAUUGGAUAUACAAUACAAUUUGUGAAUUAGAUUGAUUUCUAAUUUAACUUUAUAAUAUAUUCGGUUAAAUAUGUCAGUAUUUUGACUUUUAAUACAAUUUCAUUAGGUACUUGGUUCAAUCAGUCACUCACAUCUUCUUAGAACAAAUCUGAGAAAUUUAUGUGGCUUGUUCAGCGAACGGGGUCAGGCGUGCACUCCUUUCCCCCAAUACCGUGCUUCCUUCUGGGAAGUCAGGUGGUAGAUCGUGAUCAGGUCCAUCUAAAAUGCUUCUCACAAAUGCUUUCUUUGGGUUGAGGAGUUCUUCAAGAUGUCCAUUGUGUUUCUUCAGACGAUUAUUCUCUUGUUCGAGUAGGUUGGUGUCUUCCAGGUUCUUGCAUGAUUGCUCUUUUAGCUCACGGAUCUCCUGAAGUCUCUGGUCUAGCUCAUACUGAUUCUAGCGAAGAGUGACCUCUAACUGCUUAGUGCGGCUUUGCUCAUCCUUCAACCCUUUCUUGCAAGCUUCCAGCUGGUCUCGGAGUUUCUUGGUCUGUUCUUUGUAAUUAAGCUCUACUUUACAAGCCUGGUAUUGAGUCUCGUCUAAUUGUUUCUUCUUCACUGUCAAACUAGCAUAAGUUUCCUUGAGUGUAUCACCCACUUUUAUUCUUUUGAGUACCUCAGUUUGCACUUCGUCAUCUGCUCGACGCACUCUGUCUCUCUUCUGGUUCAGGUUGAAUUUCAAAGUUU